UACGAACUGUGCAAACGUUAUUCGGAAUCACUGGGCUUAAAGGGUGCGUAGGCGGCCGUUUAAGUAGGGUGUGAAAGCCUGGAGCUCAACUCCAGAACUGCGCCCCUAAACUGGACGGCUCGAGUGAGAUAGGGGGUGUGUGGAACUUCCGGUGGAGCGGUGAAAUGUGUUGAUAUCGGAAGGAACGCCGGUGGCGAAAGCGACACACUGGGUCUCAACUGACGCUGAGGCACGAAAGCCAGGGUAGCGAACGGG
rnacentral:rRNA from 1 species